rnacentral:rRNA from 1 species
CAGGUCAAACGGACUCUUCGGAGUUAGUGGCGGACGGGUGAGUAACGCGUGAGAAUCUGGCUUCAGGUUUGGGACAACAGUGGGAAACCGCUGCUAAUACCGGAUGUGCCUUACGAGGUGAAAAAUUAAUUGCCUGAAGAUGAGCUCGUCUCUGAUUAUCUACUUGGUGGGGUAAGAACACCCCAAGGAGGCAAUCAUUAGGUGGUGUGAGGAGAUGACCACCCACCCUGGAACAGAUACGCGGCCCACACUCCUCCGGGAGGAGGCAGGGGGGAUUUUUCCUCCGUGGGGGAAAACCUGACGGAACAAUACCGCGGGGGGGAGGAAGGCUGUUGUGGUGUAAACCUCUUUUCUCCAGAAAUAAGUUCAGAGGGUAUUUGAGGAAACAACAUCGGCUAUCUCCGUGCCACCACCCGCGGAAAUAUGGAGGAUGCAAGCGUUAUCCGGAAUGAUUGGGCGUAAAGGGUCCCCGGGUGGCAUUAAAUGUCUGUUGUCAAAAAGUGCCUCUCACCUGCAUA